GUCAGACAUUACGUGAUAAGGUUAUUUGUGUUUUUACUGGACGUUUAAUCAUCUGUUUUUCUCACCACCCUGUCCCCAGCUCCAAGAAUUGCACCUGGCACAGAGGAGGCACUCACUGAAUGGUUGCUGAGCGAAUGGAUACGUUAGUAGGAAGCAGUUUUUAUACAUUUUGUGAUCCAUUCACAGGCUUGUGGCAGAUGAAUAAUGUCUGUAAGAUUGCAGAGGAGAGGAGACUGAAUCAGAGAGGAGACUGACCCUAACUCCAGGCUUCGGUGCAAAACCCUCCUGUUAGGGGAUUGGCAGAGUCCCUCAAAAUCACGUUUAAAUCGCUCUGCAGAGCGCGGUGCAGAGCGCCAUCUGCUGGACAAAACAUAAAAAACUGAGUUUGUUCUAAGAUCCUGGAGGAUUGCUUCAAAGCAGCUUUUCUUGGAAAAGAGCAGCAGGGUAGAAAGCAGCAAGAAUGGGCAGCAAGGAAAUGCAGCCAGGUGGCCACCUGAACUCCAGAGUCCACCUUCACUGUUUGCAGAAAAUUUUGAGCAUGAAUGCCAUGAGCUCAGUUAUAAUCAUCCUGGCUACUCAUUCAUUUAUUCUGUCUUCUAAAGAUGUUUAAUGCCAACACUGUUCUGACAAUAUGCCUGGGAUCUUCAGCU
rnacentral:lncRNA from 1 species